AAGCGCUUGCAACCAGACUUGUGUACGACGGUUCCCCCUUCCUUUUGGUUGGGUCACUCCGUCGUGCCAGGCCAACAUCAGUUUUGGUGGUCGGUUAAAGGCUUGGGGAAUGUACCUACGCUCUCGGGUGUAGACUUAUAGCCCCAGGUGUCAUGCGGCCUACCGAGACUGAGGAACGCGCUUCGGCUCGGAUGUUGGCGUAAUGGUUGUCAGCGA
rnacentral:rRNA from 1 species